CGCGCGCUCGGGUUAGUGCAGUUUUAGUAUAACGAUAGCGUUCAUCGACACUGGAUGUUAUAAUAUAUGUGUAAUUCAUGCUUGCAGCCCCUCAGAAGAGGCAAAAGCUCUUACGUUGGUGAUAUGGUGAACGGAAAAGGUUUAACAAAGGAUUAAAGCAUCAUAAAACCAUCA